AUUGAACGCUGGCGGCAGGCUUAACACAUGCAAGUCGAGCGGAGAUGAGGUGCUUGCACCUUAUCUUAGCGGCGGACGGGUGAGUAAUGCUUAGGAAUCUGCCAUUUAGUGGGGGACAACAUUCCGAAAGGAAUGCUAAUACCGCAUACGUCCUACGGGAGAAAGCAGGGGAUCUUCGGACCUUGCGCUAAAUGAUGAGCCUAAGUCGGAUUAGCUAGUUGGUGGGGUAAAGGCCUACCAAGGCGACGAUCUGUAGCGGGUCUGAGAGGAUGAUCCGCCACACUGUGACUGAGACACGGCCCAGACUCCUACGGGAGGAAGCAGUGGGGAAUAUUGGACAAUGGGCGGAAGCCUGAUCCAGCCAUGCCGCGUGUGUGAAGAAGGCCUUUUGGUUGUAAAGCACUUUAAGCGAGGAGGAGGCUACUAGUACUAAUACUACUGGAUAGUGGACGUUACUCGCAGAAUAAGCGCCGGCUAACUCUGUGCCAGCAGCCGCCGUAACAC
rnacentral:rRNA from 1 species